GACGAACGCUGGCGGCGCGCCUAACACAUGCAAGUCGAACGAGCGAGCGAGAGCUUGCUUUCUCAAGCGAGUGGCGAACGGGUGAGUAACGCGUGAGGAACCUGCCUCAAAGAGGGGGACAACAGUUGGAAACGACUGCUAAUACCGCAUAAGCCCACGACCCGGCAUCGGGUAGAGGGAAAAGGAGCAAUCCGCUUUGAGAUGGCCUCGCGUCCGAUUAGCUAGUUGGUGAGGUAACGGCCCACCAAGGCGACGAUCGGUAGCCGGACUGGGAGGUUGAACGGCCACAUUGGGACUGAGACACGGCCCAGACUCCUACGGGAGGCAGCAGUGGGGAAUAUUGCACAAUGGGGGAAACCCUGAUGCAGCGACGCCGCGUGGAGGAAGAAGGUCUUCGGAUUGUAAACUCCUGUUGUUGAGGAAGAUAAUGACGGUACUCAACAAGGAAGUGACGGCUAACUACGUG
rnacentral:rRNA from 1 species